rnacentral:rRNA from 1 species
CCUACGGGGGGCAGCAGUGGGGAAUAUUGGACAAUGGGGGCAACCCUGAUCCAGCCAUGCCGCGUGUGUGAAGAAGGCCCUCGGGUUGUAAAGCACUUUCAGUGAGGAAGAACGCCUGGUGGUUAAUACCCAUCAGGAAAGACAUCACUCACAGAAGAAGCACCGGCUAACUCCGUGCCAGCAGCCGCUGUAAUACGGAGGGUGCGAGCGUUAAUCGGAAUUACUGGGCGUAAAGCGCGCGUAGGUGGCUUGAUAAGCCGGUUGUGAAAGCCCCGGGCUCAACCUGGGAACGGCAUCCGGAACUGUCAAGCUAGAGUGCAGGAGAGGAAGGUAGAAUUCCCGGUGUAGCGGUGAAAUGCGUAGAGAUCGGGAGGAAUACCAGUGGCGAAGGCGGCCUUCUGGACUGACACUGACACUGAGGUGCGAAAGCGUGGGUAGCAAACAGGAUUAGAUACCCCGGUAGUC